UACGUAGGGGGCUAGCGUUGUCCGGAAUUAUUGGGCGUAAAGAGCGCGUAGGCGGCCAGGUAAGUCUGCUGUGAAAACUCGAGGCUCAACCUCGAGACGGCGAUGGAAACCGGCGGGCUAGAGUCUGGAAGAGGAGAGUGGAAUUCCUGGUGUAGCGGUGAAAUGCGCAGAUAUCAGGAGGAACACCGGUGGCGAAGGCGGAUCUCUGGGCCUUGCCUGACGCUGAGGCGCGAAAGCGAGGGGAGCGAACAGG
rnacentral:rRNA from 1 species